CUGCCCUGGCUUCCCUCCAUGAUGGACCGAGACAAGCUAGUGAUGAAGGCUGCAGUGAGAAGAAACGCUGAGGACACUUCUGUUAUUGAAUUAUAAGGAGCCAUGCAGACCAUCUGUAGGACCAGGGGAAAGAAUAUAUAUUUAAGAAACAGGUUUAAAACCUGAUGUUAGAGGAAGACGGUGGAAAAGAAAACACAGUACAGGCGAAUCCUUCUGGGCUUAUGCAGAACUUGCCAACGUCACGCAAGCGAGCCCUGGGACGACGAACAUCUGGCAAACCCUGACUUCAGCAGCACAGUACAGAAUGCCCUCGUUUACAUAAACUCAUUUCCUCGAGGAAUAGCUGCAGAAUCUGCUAUUUCAAGAGAAUAUGUGACUAAGUGUUGUUACACCUUUGAGUGAAGGACUUUCCCCCUUAGAAUCAGGCUGCCUACUGACCUUCCUUAAGUCGGAUUUCAUGCCUUUAUAGGCAUAUUGAUUCUACAUGCACUUCCCUGGUGUUUACUAAACAAAACUCUGAGCAGUUAGGAUAAGAAUACGUAAGGAGUUUGCUUCAAUGUGAAAAACGAGCACAGAUUGAUCGUUGUAGCAAUUCCCAGUUUCCUUUGGUGGAGUAAUUUCUGACGUGAAUGGCAGAUGUUGAUGGAUUCCUGGUUGGCUGAUGAUGCUGUGAGUAAGUCAGGAGCUUGUUAUGAGGAAGCAGUGGCCAGAAGUUCAAAAUCUCCCACCCAAUGAUGCUGUCCUUUACUUAAAGCAGGAAGGCAUGCUG
rnacentral:lncRNA from 1 species